rnacentral:rRNA from 1 species
GAUCCUGGCUCAGAUUGGACGCUGGCGGCAGGCUUAACACAUGCAAGUCGAACGGUAACAUAAAGGAGCUUGCUUCUUUGAUGACGAGUGGCGGACGGGUGAGUAAUGCUUGGGAAUCUAGCUUAUGGAGGGGGAUAACUACGGGAACCUGUAGCUAAUACCGCGUAGAAUCGGGAGAUGAAAGUGUGGGACCUUCGGGCCACAUGCCAUAGGAUGAGCCCAAGUGGGAUUAGGUAGUUGGUG